rnacentral:rRNA from 1 species
AAGAGACAGCAGCAGCCGCGGUAAAACGGAGGGGGCUAGCGUUGUUCGGAAUUACUGGGCGUAAAGCGCACGUAGGCGGCUUGGUAAGUUAGAGGUGAAAGCCUGGAGCUCAACUCCAGAAUUGCCUUUAAGACUGCCGAGCUAGCAGGUGAGAGAGGUAAGUGGAAUUCCGAGUGUAGAGGUGAAAUUCGUAGAUAUUCGGAAGAACACCAGUGGCGAAGGCGGCUUACUGGCUCAUACUGGACGCUGGGGUGCGAAAGCGUGGGGAGCAAACAGGAUUAGAUACCCCCGUAGUCCCUGUCUCUUAUAC